rnacentral:rRNA from 1 species
AUAGGGUGCGAGCGUUAAUCGGAAUUACUGGGCGUAAAGCGAGCGCAGACGGUUACUUAAGCAGGAUGUGAAAUCCCCGGGCUCAACCUGGGAACUGCGUUCUGAACUGGGUGACUAGAGUGUGUCAGAGGGAGGUAGAAUCCCACGUGUAGCAGUGAAAUGCGUAGAGAUGUGGAGGAAUACCGAUGGCGAAGGCAGCCUCCUGGGAUAACACUGACGUUCAUGCUCGAAAGCGUGGGUAGCAAACAGGAUUAGAUACCCUGGUAGUCCACGCCCUAAACGAUGUCAAUUAGCUGUUGGGCAACUUGAUUGCUUAGUAGCGUAGCUAACGCGUGAAAUUGACCGCCUGGGGAGUACGGUCGCAAGAUUA